UACGGAGGGUGCAAGCGUUAUCCGGAUUCACUGGGUUUAAAGGGUGCGUAGGCGGGCAGGUAAGUCCGUGGUGAAAUCUCUGAGCUUAACUCAGAAACUGCCAUGGAUACUAUUUGUCUUGAAUAUUGUGGAGGUGGGCGGAAUGUGUCAUGUAGCGGUGAAAUGCUUAGAGAUGACACAGAACACCGAUUGCGAAGGCAGCCCACUACGCAACUAUUGACGCUGAGGCACGAAAGCGUGGGGAUCAAACAGG
rnacentral:rRNA from 1 species